rnacentral:rRNA from 1 species
ACUCAAAUGAAUAGACGGGGGCCCGCACAAGCAGCGGAGCGUGUGGUUUAAUUCGAUGCAACGCGAAGAACCUUACCCAGGCUUGACAUGCGCGUGGUACCGACGGGAAACCGGAGGGACCCGCAAGGGAGCGCGCACAGGUGCUGCAUGGCUGUCGUCAGCUCGUGCCGUGAGGUGUUGGGUUAAGUCCCGCAACGAGCGCAACCCUCGCUGCCAGUUAUUCCGUCUGGCGGGACCGCCGGGAUUAACCCGGAGGAAGGUGGGGAUGACGUCAAGUCAGCACGGCCCUUACGUCUGGGGCUACACACACGCUACAAUGGCCGGUCCAAUGGGCGGCGAAGGGGUGACCUGGAGCGAAUCCCAGCAAAGCCGGUCUCAGUGGGGAUUGGGGGCUGCAACUCGCCCCCAUGAACGCGGAGUUGCUAGUAACCGCAGGUCAGCACACUGCGGUGAAUACGUUCCCGGGCCUUGUACACACCGCCCGU